rnacentral:rRNA from 1 species
CAGGACGAACGCUGGCGGCGUGCCUAAUACAUGCAAGUCGAACGGUCUUUCUAUGGAAGCUUGCUCCACUGAGAAGAUAGUGGCGAACGGGUGAGUAACACGUGGGUAACCUGCCCAUAAGAGGGGGGAUAACAUCCGGAAACGGGUGCUAAUACCGCAUAGUUUUCUUGAUCGCAUGAUCGGGAAAGGAAAGACGGCCUUUGUGCUGUCGCUUAUGGAUGGACCCGCGGCGUAUUAGUUAGUUGGUGAGGUAACGGCUCACCAAGACGAUGAUACGUAGCCGACCUGAGAGGGUGAUCGGCCACAUUGGGACUGAGACACGGCCCAAACUCCUACGGGAGGCAGCAGUAGGGAAUCUUCCGCAAUGGACGAAAGUCUGACGGAGCAACGCCGCGUGAGUGAAGAAAGGUUUUCGGAUCGUAAAACUCUGUUGUCAGAGAAGAACAAGUUGGAGAGUAACUGCUCCAGCCUUGACGGUAUCUGACCAGAAAGCCACGGCUAACUACGUGCCAGCCGCCGC